CCUACGGGAGGCAGCAGUGAGGAAUAUUGGUCAAUGGGCGCGAGCCUGAACCAGCCAAGUCGCGUGAGGGAAGACGGCCCUACGGGUUGUAAACCUCUUUUGCCGGGGAGCAACGGGCGCCACGUGUGGCGCCACUGAGAGUACCCGGAGAAAAAGCAUCGGCUAACUCGGUGCCAGCAGCCGCGGUAAGACGGAGGAUGCGAGCGUUAUCCGGAUUUAUUGGGUUUAAAGGGUGCGCAGGCGGCCUGUUAAGUCAGCGGUAAAAGCCCGGGGCUCAACCCCGGCGAGCCGUUGAUACUGGCGAGCUGGAGUUGGAGAGAGGUACGCGGAAUGCGCGGUGUAGCGGUGAAAUGCUUAGAUAUCGCGCAGAACCCCGAUUGCGAAGGCAGCGUACCGGCUCCACACUGACGCUGAGGCACGAAAGCGUGGGUAUCGAACAGGAUUAGAUACCCUUAUAGUC
rnacentral:rRNA from 1 species